rnacentral:rRNA from 1 species
CCUACGGGCGGCAGCAGUGAGGAAUAUUGGUCAAUGGACGAGAGUCUGAUCCAGCCAAGUAGCGUGAAGGAUGACUGCCCUAUGGGUUGUAAACUUCUUUUAUAUGGGAAUAAAACGUUCCACGUGUGGGACUUUGUAUGUACCAUAUGAAUAAGGAUCGGCUAACUCCGUGCCAGCAGCCGCGGUAAUACUGAGGAUCCGAGCGUUAUCCGGAUUUACUGGGUUUAAAGGGAGCGUAGGUGGAUUGUUAAGUCAGUUGUGAAAGUGUGCGGCUCAACCGUAAAAUUGCAGUUGAAACUGGCAGGCUUGAGUACAGUAGAGGUGGGCGGAAUUCGUGGUGUAGCGGUGAAAUGCUUAGAUAUCACGAAGAACUCCGAUGGCGAAGGCAGUUCACUGGACUGCAACUGACGCUGAGGCAUGAGAGCAUGGGGAGCGAACAGGAUUAGAUACCCGUGUAGUC